AUUGAACGCUGGCGGCAGGCCUAACACAUGCAAGUCGAACGAGUGGCGGACGGGUGAGUAAUGUCUGGGAAACUGCCUGAUGGAGGGGGAAAACUACUGGAAACGGUAGCUAAUACGGCAUACCAUCGGAGGUGGCCAGAUGGGAUGAGCUAGUAGGUGGGGUAAAGGGUCACCUAGGCGACGAUCCCUAGCUGGUGUGAGAGGAUGACCAGCCACACUGGAACUGAGGCACGGUCCAGACUCCUACGGGAGGCAGCAGUGGGGAAUUUGGCGAUAUGGGCGCAAGCCUGAUGCAGCCAUGCCGCGUGUAUGAAGAAGGCCUUAGGGUUGUAAAGUACUUACAGCGGUGAGGCGUUACCCGCAGAAGAAGCACCGGCUAACUCCGUGCCAGCAGCCGCGGUAAUAC
rnacentral:rRNA from 1 species